rnacentral:rRNA from 1 species
GGAUGAACGGUUUUACAGUGUAAAUCUUUUUUUUUUAGAAAAAAUUUAAUUUGUAUUUUAAGUUAGAAUACUUAAUUAAAAAAAAGGGACGAUAAGACCCUGAAAGCUUGAUAUUAAUUUUUAUUAGUUUAGUUUUUAUAAUAAGGAUAAAAUUUUGUAAUUAGCUGGGGAAGUUUUUGUGUAAUAACUAUAAUUUCGUAUAACUUAGGUUUUAUGGUCCGUUAGAUAGUGAUAGAUAGAAGGAGUUACUUCAGGGAUAACAGCAUAAUAAUUUUGUAGAGUUCUUAUCGAUAAAAUUGACUGUGACCUCGAUGUUGAAUUAAGAAUUCUG